rnacentral:lncRNA from 1 species
GCAGGAGGCCCAGCAGCAGAGACUGUGUGCUCAGGAGGCCUCAAUACUGCAGAUGAAGCAAGAACUGCUCAGAGCCGACAUGGCCAAAGAUGAGCUCAACAACCAGAAUGCAGAGCUGCAGUGGAAGCUGGAGGAAUGCAACAGGCUGUGGGGUGAAUGCAAGAAGGAGAUGGGACAGAAAGACAGACUACUGCAGCAACACAAACACAAGCUGGAAGAAAGCCAAAA